rnacentral:lncRNA from 1 species
GAGGACAUGGCCCUUGAUAUGAAAGUCCGGAGGUCUAGUAUCAGGGUUGUAGGAUAGAGGCCCCUAGAGUUUUUCGUACUCCUCACUCGGGGUUGGGUGAGACUUGGCAGGGCUAUCCAUAGAUGAUUUGUGCAUUGGAUUGUGUCUCCCUUAUGGCAGUUAUUUAUGGUAGUUACUAUCUGAUAUAUUUGCAUGCUAUUUUAUUUAUGGUUCUUAUGUUUAGCAAAUUAUUUACGCUAUUUCUGCUGUAGUUACUAAU